rnacentral:rRNA from 1 species
GUGUCAGCCGCCGCGGUAAUACGGAGGGGGCUAGCGUUGUUCGGAAUUACUGGGCGUAAAGCGCACGUAGGCGGCUUUGCAAGUCAGAGGUGAAAGCCCGGGGCUCAACCCCGGAAUUGCCUUUGAGACUGCAUCGCUUGAACAUCGGAGAGGUAAGUGGAAUUCCGAGUGUAGAGGUGAAAUUCGUAGAUAUUCGGAAGAACACCAGUGGCGAAGGCGACUUACUGGACGAUUGUUGACGCUGAGGUGCGAAAGCGUGGGGAGCAAACAGGAUUAGAUACCCCUGUAGUCC